GACGAACGCUGGCGGCGUGCUUAACACAUGCAAGUCGAACGGAAAGGCCCUGCUUUUGUGGGGUGCUCGAGUGGCGAACGGGUGAGUAACACGUGAGUAACCUGCCCUUGACUUUGGGAUAACUUCAGGAAACUGGGGCUAAUACCGGAUAGGAGCUCCUGCUGCAUGGUGGGGGUUGGAAAGUUUCGGCGGUUGGGGAUGGACUCGCGGCUUAUCAGCUUGUUGGUGGGGUAGUGGCUUACCAAGGCUUUGACGGGUAGCCGGCCUGAGAGGGUGACCGGCCACAUUGGGACUGGGAUUCGGCCCAGACUCCUACGGGAGGCAGCAGUGGGGAAUAUUGCACAAUGGGCGGAAGCCUGAUGCAGCAACGCCGCGUGCGGGAUGACGGCCUUCGGGUUGUAAACCGCUUUCGCCUGUGACGAAGCGUGAGUGACGGUAAUGGGUAAAGAAGCACCGGCUAACUACGUGC
rnacentral:rRNA from 1 species